ACAAGAUAACUAAGAGCUUACAGCUCUUGACUGCAGCAGGUAGUAGUGUCAUAAGAAAAAAGGCACAAAAAUAUGUACCAAACAAACCUACGAUUUUGCUCAAAUUAUAAUGAGUUAAAAAAAAAAGGAAGCUUGCUAUUCUUCUCCCAAGCAGCUGCUGUGACUGGUAAUUAGGAAAAGAAAUGAAAAGCCAUCAGUUCAUUUCUACACUUGGCUUUUAAUGCACCAGAGGAGAAGCAGACAUACCAGAGCCUGUGAGAGGUUUCUUGCCUGAUCUCCAAAAGGGCGGGUGAGUUCUCUGCUGAGCAAAUUUUCUUGAGUGACAGAAUUGGCUGCCAUCGGAGACAACUGUUAUGUCCCUCUGCCAUGUAACAGCAGCUCUUUUCUAGGAAGUGGGGAGACAUACAAACGGCAUGAACAGAAGUUCAGAAAGGGUCAUUGUAAAAGCCAAUAUCUUUCAAUUUUUGGAUCCGCACAAAGGGAGCCUUUUGAAACCUGAGUUUUGUGUCCUUUGCCACCUCUUCUCAGUAAACAAAAAAAUGCAAGCCUUCAAGACAACAAUACUGAAAGAGACUGGAAGCAGAUGCUUAUUUACAAUUAUAGGCAGCUGGACAGAUUACAUAAUAAGUGACUUAAAUUCAAGAAGAUGGAUUAAUCUGGAAAUUUGUGCAGAUUAACACCAUUACAUGGAUGACACAGUAUUUUACGCUGUUACCUGUGACCCUCUUUCGCAACUCUGUGUUUGUUGUUCUUACUCCAGCCUGAUUGUUGUGUUAGCAAUUCUACAACAGGGGCAGAAAUCA